GGCCUGGUGGUCUAGUAGUAUGAUUCCUUCUUAGGGUUGCUUGCCAUAUGGAGGAGGUCCCGGGUUCAAUUCCCGGCCAGGCCC
rnacentral:tRNA from 1 species